rnacentral:rRNA from 1 species
UACAUGGGGUGCAAACGUUGCUCGGAAUUAUUGGGCGUAAAGCGCGUGUAGGCGGCUUUGCAAGUCGGGUGUGAAAGCCCUCAGCUCAACUGAGGAAGUGCGCCCGAAACUGCAGAGCUUGAGUACCGGAGAGGAUGGCGGAAUUCCCCAAGUAGAGGUGAAAUUCGUAGAUAUGGGGAGGAACACCGGUGGCGAAGGCGGCCAUCUGGACGGAUACUGACGCUGAGACGCGAAAGCGUGGGGAGCAAACAGG